rnacentral:rRNA from 1 species
AACGCUAGCUACAGGCUUAACACAUGCAAGUCGAGGGGAAACGAUAGAGAAAGCUUGCUUUUUCUAGGCGUCGACCGGCGCACGGGUGAGUAACGCGUAUCCAACCUGCCCACCACUUGGGGAUAACCUUGCGAAAGUAAGACUAAUACCCAAUGACGUCUCUAGAAGGCAUCUGAAAGGGAUUAAAGAUUUAUCGGUGAUGGAUGGGGAUGCGUCUGAUUAGCUUGUUGGCGGGGUAACGGCCCACCAAGGCUACGAUCAGUAGGGGUUCUGAGAGGAAGGUCCCCCACAUUGGAACUGAGACACGGUCCAAACUCCUACGGGAGGCAGCAGUGAGGAAUAUUGGUCAAUGGGCGAGAGCCUGAACCAGCCAAGUAGCGUGCAGGAUGACGGCCCUAUGGGUUGUAAACUGCUUUUAUAAGGGAAUAAAGUGAGCCUCGUGAGGCUUUUUGCAUGUACCUUAUGAAUAAGGACCGGCUAAUUCCGUGCCAGCAGCCGCGGUAAUACGGAAGGUCCGGGCGUUAUCCGGAUUUAUUGGGUUUAAAGGGAGCGUAGGCCGGAGAUUAAGCGUGUUGUGAAAUGUAGAUGCUCAACAUCUGCACUGCAGCGCGAACUGGUUUCCUUGAGUACGCACAAAGUGGGCGGAAUUCGUGGUGUAGCGGUGAAAUGCUUAGAUAUCACGAAGAACUCCGAUUG